ACCAAGUGAAACCAAUUUUCGGAUUCACCUAUCUGCAUGCUGAAAGAAGAACAUUUGGUAUAUGAGCAAAUACAAUAGAUAAAGGACCAACAGUUAUUGGUUUUGUUGAGUCUACAUAUACAGGUUCCAAAGGAGGAAUUUCACCAGCUGAAUUUACACUUAAAGCUUUUCCAUUUAGCAACAUGAUUUGGCUAUGUAUAUUUCUGUCUGGUGCUGUCAAAUG
rnacentral:lncRNA from 1 species